UACGUAGGGUGCAAGCGUUGUCCGGAAUUAUUGGGCGUAAGAGCUCGUAGGCGGUUUGUCGCGUCUGCUGUGAAACCCGAGGCUCAACCUCGGGCCUGCAGUGGGUACGGGCAGACUAGAGUGCGGUAGGGGAGAUUGGAAUUCCUGGUGUAGCGGUGGAAUGCGCAGGAUAUCAGGAGGAACACCAAUGGCGAAGGCAGAUCUCUGGGCCGUAAGCUGACGCUGAGGAGCGAAAGCAUGGGGAGCGAACAGG
rnacentral:rRNA from 1 species